rnacentral:rRNA from 1 species
UUGUUGCGGUUGAAAGCUCGUAGUUGGGUUUCUGCGGAGGAAGCGCGGUCCGCACUUGGUGCGUGUAUCUGGUCUACCUACGCAUCUUCCAGUGAAACGCUACUGCGCUUUAUUGCGUGGCGCGGCAAUCUGGACUUUUACUUUGAGGAAAUUGGAGUGUUUACAGCGAGCGAUUGGUUUGAACAUAUUAGCAUGGAAUAAUAACCUAGAACCUUGGUUCUAUUUUGUUGGUUUCUAGACUAGGGUAAUGAUCAAUAGGGAUAAUUGGGGGCAUUUGUAUCAACACGUCAGAGGUGAAAUUCUUGGAUUGUGUUACGACGAACCACUGCGAAAGCAUUUGCCAAGGAUGUUUUCAUUGAUCAAGAACGAAAGUGCAGGGAUCGAAGACGAUUAGAUACCGUCGUAUUUUUCACCGUAAACUAUGCCGAUUAAAGAUUGGAGGUCGUUCUUAUUGUGGCUCCUUCAGUAAUUUAUGAGAAAUCAAAAUUCUUGGGUUCCGGGGGGAGUAUGGUCGCAAGGCUGAAACUUAAAGGAAUUGACGGAAGGGCACCACCGGGAGUGGAGCCUGCGGCUUAAUUCGACUCAACACGGGGAAACUCACCAGGUCCAGACAUAGCAAGGAUUGACAGAAUGACAGCUCUUUCUUGAUUCUGUGGGUGGUGGUGCAUGGCCGUUCUUAGUUGGUGGAGUGAUUUGUCUGGUUAAUUCCGUUAACGAACGAGAUCUUAUCCUGCUAAAUAGGAACGUGUGUCUUCGGACAUGCAGGUUGCUUCUUAGAGGGACUUUGCGAAUUGAAGCGUAGGGAAGGUUGAGGCAAUAACAGGUCUGUGAUGCCCUUAGAUGUUCUGGGCUGCACGCGCGCUACACUGAUGCGUUCAACGAGUAUGCCUUGUCCGGCAGGACUGGGGAAUCUUGUGAAAGCGCGUCGUGAUGGGGAUAGAACACUGUAAUUAUUGUUCUUCAACGAGGA